UACGUAGGGACCAAGCGUUGUCCGGAAUCAUUGGGCGUAAAGAGCGUGUAGGCGGCUAGUUAAGUCUUGCGUGAAAUCUCGGGGCUCAACCCCGAGCGGUCGUGAGAAACUGGCAGGCUAGAGUGCGGGAGAGGAGAGUGGAAUUCCUGGUGUAGCGGUGAAAUGCGCAGAUAUCAGGAAGAACACCCGUGGCGAAGGCGGCUCUCUGGAACGCAACUGACGCUGAGACGCGAAAGCGUGGGGAGCAAACAGG
rnacentral:rRNA from 1 species